UUAUUUUCUCAGUACAUCCUAUACUCAAAGUUUAGAUUCAAUGGUUUUCACAGAACUCCUAUAUUUGCUGAUGACAUUCUUGUUGGUGAAACUGGAGAAGGGGAAGGUGUAAAGCCACCAGAAAAGUCAUUUUGGGCCAAAUAUUGGAUGUACCUGAUACCACUAGGACUGAUUGUUAUGAAUGCCAUAACACAAGCAAUGAACAUGGCUGAAGAACAGGUUGGUGGCCAAGCAGCAGGACAAGGACAAGCACAGCCACAGCAGUCAGCUGCUGCAAUACAACGUGGACCAGGCUCGUCUACGGUAAGACGACGAUAGGAACUGUUAGAAAAAUCGACAGGAAAGCAUGCACCGACGUGAAAUGGUUCGUUUUCCUUGUAGUUUUCAACAUAAUGAUUGGACUUGGAGAAUUUUUUGGCCAUGUAUUUCUAACUUUAUUAGCAUUAGAAACUUUGUCAAAGUGCAGAAUACUGUAUAUCCCAUUUAUUUGUUCGACUGAUGUUCAACUUCCAUUUGAGACUCCCGUUGGAAUUUGUUCAUUGAAGUAUUUAUGUUUUAUUAUGGAAUUGAGAAUGAUACUGAUUACCAUUA